rnacentral:rRNA from 1 species
CCUACGGGCGGCAGCAGUGAGGAAUAUUGGUCAAUGGACGAGAGUCUGAACCAGCCAAGUAGCGUGAAGGAUGACUGCCCUAUGGGUUGUAAACUUCUUUUAUAAAGGAAUAAAACGAGGCACGUGUGCCUUUUUGCAUGUACUUUAUGAAUAAGGAUCGGCUAACUCCGUGCCAGCAGCCGCGGUAAUACGGAGGAUCCGAGCGUUAUCCGGAUUUAUUGGGUUUAAAGGGAGCGUAGAUGGGUUGUUAAGUCAGUUGUGAAAGUUUGCGGCUCAACCGUAAAAUUGCAAUUGAUACUGGCAGUCUGGAGUACAGUUGAGGUAGGCGGAAUUCGGGGUGUAGCGGGAAAAUGCUUAGAUAGCACGAAGAACCCCGAUUGGGAAGGCAGCUUACUAAACUGUGACUGACAUUGAUGAUCGAAAGUGUGGGUAUCAAACAGGAUAAGAGACCCUGGUAGUC